rnacentral:rRNA from 1 species
CAGCCGCCGCGGGAAUACGAAGGGUGCAAGCGUUAAUCGGAAUUACUGGGCGUAAAGCGUGCGCAGGCGGUUAUGUAAGACAGUUGUGAAAUCCCCGGGCUCAACCUGGGAACUGCAUCUGUGACUGCAUAGCUAGAGUACGGUAGAGGGGGAUGGAAUUCCGCGUGUAGCAGUGAAAUGCGUAGAUAUGCGGAGGAACACCGAUGGCGAAGGCAAUCCCCUGGACCUGUACUGACGCUCAUGCACGAAAGCGUGGGGAGCAAACAGGAUUAGAUACCCCCGUAGUCCCUGUCUCUUAUAA